UCAGUGCUGUUCGAUUUGAACGGCUCAAUCAUGACGAUGAAGAAACAGAGACCAAUGAGGUAACACGCCUCGUUCCCAAAAUUAUGACUAGGAAGCGGAAAAAUAAUGGAGGCUCAGAUAGAAGCAAUCACAACGAGAUCUCUUUUAUGGAGAGGAGAGAAGAGGAUGACCAUUCCAACAAUUUUGUUAUUAAUGAGAUCUCUUUUAUGGAGAGGAGAGAAGAAGAUGACCAUUCCAACAAUUUUGUUAUGGCCGAACAUGAGGACAGUCAUGAUAUUGCCAAUAAACAAUAGUUGCAUGAGUUAUCUCAUUCUUUUAUAUAAAUUUCAUU
rnacentral:lncRNA from 1 species